rnacentral:lncRNA from 1 species
GUAACAUAACAGUUACACCAGAACAAGUAAGUCAUUCCACUAGUGUGUCAAUGUAACAUAACAGUUACACCAGAACAAGUAAGUCAUUCCACUUGUGUGUCAAUAUAACAUAACAGUUACACCAGAACAAGUAAGUCAUUCCAUUAGUGUGUCAAUGUAACAUAACAGUUACACCAGAAGAAGUAAGUCAUUCCACUAGUGUGUCAAUGUAACAUAACAGUAACAUAAGAACAAGUAAGUCAUUCCACUAGUGUGUCAAUGUAACAUAACAGUUACACCAGAACAAGUAAGUCAUUCCACUAGUGUGUCAAUGUAACAUAACAGUUAGACCAGAACAUGUAAAUCAUUCUACUAGUGUGUCAAUGUAACAUAACAGUUACACCAGAAC